AUCCUGCUCGAAGAUGGGGGGACCAUCCUCCAAGGCUAAAUACUCGUGAUCGACCGAUAGCGUACCAGUACUGUGAAGGAAAGGUUAAAAGAACCCCGGGAGGGGAGUGAAAUAGAUCCUGAAACCGCAUACAUACAAACAGUAGGAGCCUCGUUAAGGGGUGACUGCGUACCUUUUGCAUAAUGGGUCAGCGACUUACGUUUAAUGGCGAGCUUAACCGUAUAGGGGAGGCGCAGCGAAAGCGAGUUCGAACAGAGCGUUCAGUCGUUAGGCGUAGACCCGAAACCAGAUGAUCUAUCCAUGGCCAGGUUGAAGGUGUGGUAACACACACUGGAGGACCGAACCGACUAGUGUUGCAAAAUUAGCGGAUGAGCUGUGGAUAGGGGUGAAAGGCUAAACAAAUCUGGAGAUAGCUGGUUCUCCCCGAAAACUAUUGAGGUAGUGCCUCGUGUAUGACUCCAGGGGGUAGAGCACUGUUAUGGCUAGGGGGACAUGGCGUCUUACCAAACCAUGGCAAACUCCGAAUACUUGGAAGUUUGAGCACGGGAGACAGAGCACCGGGUGCUAACGUCCGGACUCAAGAGGGAAACAACCCAGACCGCCGGCUAAGGUCCCUAAUAUUGACUAAGUGGAAAACGAAGUGGAAAGGCUAAGACAGUCAGGAAGUUGGCUUAGAAGCAGCCAUCCUUCAAAGAAAGCGUAAUAGCUCACUGAUCGAGUCUUUCUGCGCGGAAGAUGUAACGGGGCUAAGUCAAUAACCGAAGCCGCGGAUUCACACUUAUGUGUGAGUGGUAGGGGAGCGUUCUGUAAGCCUGCGAAGGUGACUCGUAAGGGUUGCUGGAGGUAUCAGAAGUGCGAAUGCUGACAUGAGUAACGUUAAAGCGGGUGAAAAGCCCGCUCGCCGUAAGCCCAAGGUUUCCUGCUCUACGUUCAUCGGAGCAGGGUGAGUCGGCCCCUAAGGUGAGGCUGAGAAGCGUAACUGAUGGGAACAAGGUUAAUAUUCCUUGACCACCGCUGAAUGCGAAGGGGGGACGGAGUAUUGAAGAUCAUCCGGGUGUUGGAUAUCCCGGUUUGCGAGCGUAGGAGGCUGACAGGCAAAUCCGUCAGCGAAUCUCCGAGGCAAAGCAUCGAGCUCUCUUUUGAGCGAAGUGAUUGGAUGUGCUUCCAGGAAAAGCCUCUAAGCUCCAGUUCAGCGGGACCGUACCGCAAACCGACACUGGUGGGCGAGCUGAAUAUGCUCAGGCGCUUGAGAGAACUCAGGAGAAGGAACUCGGCAAAUUGACACCGUAACUUCGGGAUAAGGUGUGCCUUUGUAGCGUGGAGGGAGAAACACCCCGAGCGCGAAGAGGUCUCAGAUAAUCGGUGGCUGCGACUGUUUAUUAAAAACACAGCACUCUGCAAAGACGAAAGUCGACGUAUAGGGUGUGAUGCCUGCCCGGUGCUGGAAGAUUAAUUGAUGGGGUGCAAGCUCCUGAUCGAAGUCCCAGUAAACGGCGGCCGUAACUAUAACGGUCCUAAGGUAGCGAAAUUCCUUGUCGGGCAAGUUCCGACCUGCACGAAUGGCAUAACGAUGGCCACACUGUCUCCUCCUGAGACUCAGUGAAGUUGAAGUGUUUGUGAUGAUGCAAUCUCCCCGCGGCUAGACGGAAAGACCCCAUGAACCUUUACUGUAGCUUUGCAUUGGACUUUGAACCGAUCUGUGUAGGAUAGGCGGGAGCCUGUGAAACCACAACGCCAGUUGUGGCGGAGGCGUCCUUGAAAUACCGCCCUGAUUUGUUUGAGGUUCUAACCUGGGACAGUCAUCCUGUCCGGGGACCGUGCAUGGUAGGCAGUUUGACUGGGGCGGUCUCCUCCUAAAGGGUAACGGAGGAGUGCGAAGGUACGCUAGGUACGGUCGGAAAUCGUGCUGAUAGUGCAAUGGCAAAAGCGUGCUUGACUGCGAGACCCACAAGUCGAGCAGAUACGAAAGUAGGUCAUAGUGAUCCGGUGGCUCUGUAUGGAAGGGCCAUCGCUCAACGGAUAAAAGGUACUCUGGGGAUAACAGGCUGAUACCGCCCAAGAGUUCAUAUCGACGGCGGUGUUUGGCAC
rnacentral:rRNA from 1 species